ACUCGCUGAUUGGCUGAGCAGGGCCGCGGACAGAGAGAAAUGCCGAGGAAUAGGGGCGCGGCCGCCCGGUUUCGGCGAUGGGUUAUAGGGUCCGCGUCAGCCCCGCGCCCGCACAGCCAACGUCACGCCGCAUUCUUAUUUCCAAAGACCCCUGGAGCUUGGGGUCCCACCCCAGCGGUCUUUCGGGGCGUCCCCUGCCCUUCACGCGCCGCGCCGGCUCGGCCCGAAGCGCCCUGCGGACCCGCAGCCUGGGCCGCCCCGAACCUGACGGCCCCGCGGGGGUCGGACGCGGGAGGAACGGCCUCGCUUUCAGAGACGCAGCGGGAGGGCGGUCCCCGCUGUCCCUCUGGCCGGGUCCUCAGCACGCGUUCUCCUCACUCCCAGGACUAGCGAGCGGCGGGCGCGGACCGGGGCCUGGGGUCGGAGGCGGCGCAGCCAGAAAGGCCCCAGCGGCGCUGAGACGUUUGGGGGAAGGCGGGGGCUUCGCGUUUCGAUGGCGGGAAGCGGAAUGAGGUUGGACCGGCCGGGCCGGCGUUCAGGGACCCGGCGGGAGGCGGAGGGCUGGCGUCCUCGCGGACAUCCAUCUGCAGCGAACCAGGCAGAGGCUUUGGGAUUAGAUCCUUGACUCCUUGCGUCAGUAGUUAAGGUUUGUUUAAAUAUAAAAUGGGAUGGCCCUUCUUACAAGGUUGCUGGAGGAUUAAAUGAAUAGGCAUGUGGAAAGCACCUAGUAUAAUAAGGCUCGGUAGUUUCUUCCAUCAGGGCUGGAAGAGACCACGGAGCCUGCUUUCCUCCUUCGGCGUUUGGAUCUCACAUAUCCCUUCUUCUCUGGCGAUCAAAAAUCCCUAUCUUCUGUAGAGAUCCCUUUUACAGAUCAGUGGCCUCCAGGCGGUAUCUCUAGCAACAAGUGCUACCCCAAGCGGCCGGCCACACAUAUUCCCUGGCUUCAUGACAUAGGGAGGCGCAGUCCCCACGUGAUGCAGAAGGGAAAUGUGCCUGUCCUUGCACUGACCCCGUCAGCCAUGUGUGCUCCUGGCUGUUUUCUGAAAUCAAGAACCAGUUACAUCCGCCCUUCUCCGUUCUCUAGUUGAAACCUCCCUAUCCAUCCUUCCAACAUUCAUGUAAGUUGGAGGUGGGCGUGGGAUGACACCAAACUGUUAGGUAUAAAAUACCAUCCUAGCCUUCGAGGGGUUUCUAAAGUAGUUGAGGAGUGAUAUAUUCUGGUAAAAUCAUAAUGCUGGACAGCGCAGUUCUAAGAGCCCUGUGAUCAAAGUAGCCAAAUGCCCAUUAUGAGAAUUCAGAGGGUGGAGAAAUCCAGGAAGACUCCCUGGAGGAGGUGAGAUUUUAGCUGGAUUGUAAACAAUGGUUAUUUUUCUCAUCCAGAGUGUGUACAUUGUUGAGAACACUGGCCUAGGAUAAGGGUGCACUUGGCAUCCAGGAGAUAGAGUUAAGAGUAUGUCCAUACAGGCCUUCAAAAAAUCACCACGAGGGCUGAGCGCAGUGGCUCACACCUGUAAUCCCAGCACUAUGGGAGGCAGAGGCGGGCGGAUCACGAGGUCAGGAGAUCGAGACCAUCCUGGCUAACACGGUGAAACCCCGUCUCUACUAAAAAUAUAAAAAAAUUAGCUGGGCAUGGUGGCGGGCACCUGUAGUCCUAGCUACUUUGGAGGCUGAAAGGAGAAUGGCGUGAACCCGGGAGGCAGAGCUUGCACUUGCAGUGAGCCGAGAUUGUGCCCCUGCACUCCAGCCUGGGGGACAGAGUGAGACUCCGUCUCAAAAAAAAAAAAAAAAAAAAAAUCACCACGAAAGUUCUAUAGCUCAAAAAAGACGGACUUUUUGAAUUUUGUUCUGGAAAAAAAAAAAUCCUCUGUAGAAAAUGACAGCUGUAAAGUGAAAUGUAUUUCCUUCUUUGCCUCUGCUCCUUUGUCUUGGCUUUGGCCAGAACCAAAAACAUUGCUGAGUCUGAGCAGCCACUCAUAUUAGCAGCCUGCAGCUCUUACUCUUUUCCUUUAAUGUCUUUGAUGUUUCAUUUCUGUCCUAAUUUGCAUGUGAUUGCCUGUGUCAUUUGUUUGGCAGCUUUGUGAUGGUCUGAGGUCCAUGAAGGGAUUAAAACCAGGAACUGGCUCCUUCUCCAACCACUAAAGCCUCAUCUGGGCCCACAAGCCCUGGCUGUUCCCUGGAGCGUGACUGGAAGAUGUGAGCAGCUUUGUGCUGGAGCCCCAUUUCCAUGGGUAAACUGUUCACCUGAUCAAACAGCUCCCCAGAGUUCCACAGUACCACAUAUUUAUUUUCUAGAACUUUGUUUUUAGCUGAAAGGGAUCUUAGAGGCUAAGGCAAUCCUAUCACUUUACAGGUGAUAAAACUGAGGCCCAGAGAAGUGAAGUAACUUGCCUAGGCCCACACAGCUCAUCAGUAAAAGAGCCAGAACACAUGGCCGAGACUUCUCCCUAAUCCAGCGUCUCCUCCACACUCCCAGCUCACCCCUAGGGUUUGUGCCCAGGCUGAGGACACUAUUUUCAGAGGCACUAAUGUGAGGCAAAGGGCAUGUUACCAGACACAGCCCCGCCUACCCCGGUCCCCUGAGGUGGAGCUGUGCAUUCCACUGGCUUCACGGUUCCCCUCUGCCCUGGCGGCUUCUGGUUGGUAUUGGCGCCACCGACUGCUCUGCCAUGGCUCCUCAGUGAGUGCUUUGGGUGUGAUUGACAAGUUUCCAUGACAUCUCCCAGGGAGUGGGGUCCUGAUGUUGGUGACAUCUCUAUCGUUCAUCUUUUCAUGGGGCUGAUGAAUUCCUAGAAAGGGUAGAAGGAGAAGGAGCCACUGAAAGAGGCUCUUUAAAACUUCCCUGAGUGUCCCCCAGUGCAAAUGAACAGGAGCCCCAGGACACUUGAAGGCCCUAGGAAAUCACACCUCAGAGCCACAGAUGCAUCCUAAUGCUCUCUGCAGACGGGGCACGUGUCGGAGGUGAGAACAACAGCUCCAGAUGUCUCUGUCUUUGCAAAUAAGGCCUGUGACAUUUAAUGAUGUAACCACCUACCUUCCACCCAUUGUUCUGGUGGCCAUGAGUAGAAGGAAUUAUACCAGGAUGUGAUAAGAAGGAAUUAGGAGCUGGGAGUCUUGCUGGGUGAGGACCUUGGCCCCUUGCUUGCUUGCCAUCUAAUAGGGGCACUCCUGGCCUGUGGGGUCAGGGAGAACUAGACCCAGAGCAUGGUUGUCUCUGUGACUAGUUGAGCCUGUUUCUCCUUCAAGGGCCCUGGCAGUGGGAAAACAUAUUAUGACAAUUGCACUGUUUUAUCAGCCCUUGGCACUCCUGAAGUUGCCCUGAAAUAAACAUCCCUACCUGUAUGCCAGGCCCUGCCUACUUCUGGAGCUCUCUUAGGUUUACAACCUACCCCCGCUGUCCCAAAUUGAUAGGGUGAGCCCAGGGCAUUAAAUGGGUGGUGCAAGUCAGGCUUCAGGACUGACACGGGUCUAUGUGCGCUCAGUGUGGGUUGAGGGGCACUGGGCUGUCUUUCUCCCUACAGUGCAUGCUGCUGCCAAACCAGAGAUCACUUGUAGACUUGAAAGGGAACAUGAGCUUUGGGUGAAGGAUUCCCAGCCCCCAACAGAGGCCAAAAAGCUACCACCCAGCCAGGUAAGCCUUGAUGGAACAUCUCUUGCACAAAGAUCACCAUGUUCAUUGAGCCUUUAGUGCCUCCUGGGCUCUGAUCAACCCACGAAUCAGUAUCUCCGCAGCACUUCCUGUGGUUUGGAUUCAGGUUUUUUACUUCUGUUUCCUGCCUUUAUGAUAGGAGUUUGGGUAACCUGUGAGAAACACAGCCACAGUGUAAACCUCUUGAGACAAGCUACACUGAUGGGACAAUCAGGGUGAGGGCAAUCCGGCGCCGUGGCUAUGUCAGCUCAUGUGUGCUCUUUCAGGAGGACAUGUCUCACAGACACAGAUCUUCAGCUCUGACAUGCUCGAUCUCACAAGCCCUUUUCUGAAACCUCCAUCAUGUGCUUUCUGAUUCUCUACAGGCAGAAGGAACAUAAAGUAUGCAUUUUAUGAUACGACUCAGCUUGGAGGGAUGAAGUAGAAGGUCCUCACUGCACCUCAUGGCAGGCUGCUGACGGCAGAUAUUUUACCGGGCUCACUGAACUGGGCAGUCAGGGAAGGGUCGGCUCCUGCUCUGUCCAGCUGUCUUCAUAAGGGACUCUGUGACACUUUUUAUAAAAAUGACUUUGAUUUCUGCAUAAGAAGGCUUCCCAAGCUUGCUGUCUAGCAGUGGCUGCUACAGGGAAUUAUUCACAUGGCAGCAAGAGAGCCCUGGCUCCCUGGACCAGGACAUUCCCUUUGUGUGUGUUGGAAUGAGAGCAGGAGGAGUGCUGGUCAGAAGCCCCUCCCCAGGGCUCUGGGACUUCAGUGUUCUCAGACAAACUGGGCCGCUCCUCUGAGCUGGGAUGCUGACCCACACUUGGCCCCGGCUCUGGCAUCCACAGGACGCUGCCUUAUCCGUCAUCUCGCUGGGGCUGGGGGCUAGAGGCUGAGCAGGUCACACUGAACAAAAGAAGUGUGUCCCCAUCACUAGGCUAACAUCUGAGUUUCUUCCACAGUAUUUGGUAACACAGUCAGAAACAAGACUGAAGAUGAUUCUGGAGGCAACUGGGAACCCCCCAGAACGAUUCUGCAGGCUUCUGGGAAGCUGAAAAACCCCAAGGCCAGACUGGCCUCAGAAUGCCUGAGUCCUUUUGAUUCCACUGGAAAAGCCAUCCAUCUGUGCCAAGUGUGUGGAGAGCUUCAAGAGCCAUAUAGCCCUGGCCACCAUGAGCACAGCCACGUGGGGGAGUAGUCCUGAAAGUGUCCUGGUGUGGCAAAGGCUUUCCACUAAGUGGACCUCAGAUGGCACAGGAAGACCCUCCUGGGGAUGUGGGAGGACACUGCCUAGUGGGUGAGGGGCCGCUCUUUCAGGUGUGCACACUAAAUGCAGAGACAGCCUCUCCUGGCUGCCAAGAAGCCUGUGCAUGAUCCAGGACCACAAAACACUUGCAAACUCACUGCCCAGAGGCCCUGUGCCUGUCUGGAGUGUGCCCAGUGUGUCUGCGCCCCACAGCUUGUCCUGGCCCGCCAGCAGAGCCGCAGCACUGCAGGGCCCUUCUGUUGUGAGUGCCAGGGCCCUUGCUGGCUGCCUGAGCAAGGCAAAAGGUUCAAAACAGGAAGUCUCUGGGCAGCUAUUCCCAGGUGCAGAGGGGAGCAGCGGCCACACAGGUGCCAGUGUGGCAGGAGCUGCAGUCAGAGGCAGCAUCUCAAGAGCCCUGGGAGCAGGGGCCAGCCACGUGAAGCCCACGAGUGUCGCUGGCACAGGGAAGGGACACGAGGAUCACACUGACCCAAGAGAAGGCCCACAGUGAGGAGGCCCCACCGAAGCAUCCCCAGCAACAGGGACUGAGGCAUCUGAGGCAGCCAGCCCACUCGGAAAGGCCUGCUGACUGCACUCCAGAUGUCAAGAGCACCCUUGGGAAAAAGAAAGGCAGGAGUGCAGCACUUUCUAGAGCCUCAGCUCACUUCUCUCCUUCUAGCUCCAGCCGGAGUGAUGGAAGAGGCUGCGCUGGGAGCUGCCUCCCUGGGAGCCUACCCUGCCCAGCCUGAGAGUGGAGGCUACCAGCAUCACGCUUCCCCUAGUGAAAUCCAUCUGUCCUGAAGGGAACCCUGGGACGGGGUCAAGGAAACCCUGUUCACCCCCACCACGGGGUCAGGUCUUCACCAAAGGGAGGCCGCACGGAUUCCCAGUCGCAAACCCAAAGCCUUGCUGCCUUUGCCUCUGUUUCCAUAGUUGUUUCAAUGUCUUUUUUAAAAAUCACAUACACUCGAGUAAGACUGAGUCUCCUCACCGAAGAGAUCUGGCUGUAUCCCGAGUCUCUGAAACCUUUGCUCCAGUCCCGUGGGAGCGUGCCGUCCCGAGGAUGUGGAGCCGCAAGGGCUCGCCAGAGGGAUCUCAGGAGCUAGGCCUCAAGGAGCGCUGUUGAGUGACAGGUCUGAUGCAGUAGCUUUUACUAUUGGUGGAAAUCGAUGUUUUUUCCUUGAAAGUCUACCUUUCUAAGUUCAGUAAACCAAAUUAGAUCAUGUAUGUGAAAGCACUUUGUAAACUAUGCAGUACUCCAGAAAAGGCAGCCAAGCCCUUAAUUAUAACUCACCAAACAGCCAACUCUCAUCUUUACCUUCUAACUGGCAAAAAUGAUUGAGCUCACUUUGAAGGACUAGAGAGGAAAGAAACUGAAAGACAAAAAUCAGGUGAAUACACAGGCACUUCCCCUGCCCACCUCUGUUCCUGGCCCUGUCCCCUCGUGAGUGAGAGCAGAGCUCGUUCUGUCAGCUUCUCUGAGCUCCUGGUCCUCGCUUAGGGACACACAAGACAGAGAUGUGUUGAAAUAGACUCUGCUUUAUUCAGGUAGCAAAAGGUUAGGAAUCAAACAUGGUUUUUAAAACCUCCUUUCAUCUUUGAAAAUAGAGGAGAGAACAUCCCUGGGCCAGUCACAGUUACUGUAUUUGGCUAAGCACACACCUGUAUGAGGGACCCGCCCCUCCACACUGUUCUGAUAGGUACUUAGCACCCUAGAAACUCAUCCUCUGCAGGAGAGAGAAGCAAGGGUCUGGAGCGCGGUCACAUACUCUAAGGUAUCUUCCAGGACAGGGGGCUGGGCUCCCUCACUCCCACCUGGAGUCGCUAUGGCUAUUGGGAUCAAACUACCAGUUACAUACUGGUUACUUGGAAUGUCAGACCCGGUGGGUAUCAGUCAUCAGGGAGAGGGAGGGGAAAUGCCAGGACACGUACAUACGGAUGCUGUCAAGACUACAGGCAAGGAGGAGGGUGGCGACAAGCGCUGGGACUCCAGCCAAAGCGGGAGUGCAUGCUUCUUCCCCUCCCAGAGCCCUGUGGUUUUUCUUCUUGUGAGGCAUAAACAGGAAGCCUCUCCAACAAGGGGGUCUCCAGCACUAGGGGCUGAAACUCAGCCAGCCUCUCCAAACAAAGCAAAGGGGCCAGCCUGGGCCAGGGCCUCUGAUAAGGAUGCUCACUGUGUUUCCACGGGGGUCCUGAAUGAGGAAGUUCAGGAAUAAGAUGGCAGUCAUCUUCUUCCUUCUUGGCCAUUGGCUGACAAAGGGGAACGGAGCAGGCCUGUGCCCCUUGAGAAAUCGGGUAGUGCAAAUUUUAUGACAAACAGCAUUCUCAGUGGCCCCGCUGCACAGGGACCCCCCUUUCCCACCACCUAAGGAAGGCACUGGCCGGUGUCCUCGGAGCACGCUGAUGCUGACGUGGAGAGGGCGAGUUGCUUCCCCUAGCUUCCACCUCAGCUCCAGAACUACUCCCACAGAGACCCACUCACGGCUGCUCACAGGAUGGCCUCCUGCUCUGAGGGAUUCUUCAAGGAUGAAGAGGCCGCAGGAAGCAUGUGUGCUGGAACAGCACCUUGAUGUGGAAUCCCUGUGGGUAGGGCAGAGGCUAUAGCCCCACCUAAAAAAGCCUUUCUCCCUCCCUUUCCACGAGUUCACAUCCACAGUGCCUGACCUGGGCAAGUUCCUGAACGCCCAUGGAGACGGUGAUGGGGAGAAGGAGGCCUGUGUGUGCCUUAGCCACGCAGAUAGUAACACCUCCCAGAGCUCCCGCACCACAGGCCUGUGGGGUCCCUCUGACCGCCAGACCCACAGGGCUGGGAGACAUUUCCACAGGUCAAAGGCAGAAAGCAAGAAAGGAAUUCCUGACUAGAACUGAAAAUGACACGAAAGCAACAGUGCUAAGGCUAAGUACUGGGGUGGGGAUGAAAGGGCAGGUGGGGUACCAGGGUACCUGCGGUACCAGGGAGGGGCUCGGACGCCAGCAUCUACCCUGGGAAUGGGAAGGGUACUCAGACAGCAGCUUCUACCCUGGGAAUAGGAAGGGUACUCAGGUGCUCAGAUGCCAGCAUCUACCCUGGGAAUGGGAAGGGUACUCAGACAGCAGCUUCUACCCUGGGAAUAGGAAGGGUACUCAGGUGCUCAGAUGCCAGCAUCUACCCUGGGAAUGGGAAGCGGCAGACUAUGGAGAAAGGGCCCACCCACAGGGGCCUGCAGCACAGCACAGGACCUGCCUGAGCCAGGCAGCAAGCAAGCUGGGAUGGAUGGCGCCCACUUCCUGCCUGUUUAAAACAAGUAUCAGGCAGGGCAGAGAAACCCUGCCUGCUGACUUGCCUCAUUUCCUGCCCAUGGUUAAGGAAGGCAGAACCUAGACAAAAUCAUCCUCCUCCUGAUAAGCGGCCUCCUGAGCCUGCCAAGACGGAGCUGCCCUUGGAAGGAAAAGUGCUUCACUUUAGGUGGAAGGAAGAUCGGGGCGAGGAGGGUGUGAACCUAGCAGUGCCAGAAGCCCCUCUGUGCCUCUAGGGCGGUGGUUCUGUGGUUCUGAAGCUAGAGCAGGCCCAAAGUCCCUGGAGGAGGUUGUUCAAAGCCCUUGUCACUGAGCGCCCAUUCGGGGAUGUCUCAGUGGGCCCUGGAGAUCCUGGUGCAGAGUCCCCAGGGCAGCUCAGAGAAGAGUGGACUAGCCUGUCGUGCAGAUGGUGCAUUCAGAGAGCAACUCCUACAACAAGGACUUUGGAGACAAAUUCCUACCUGUCCCACUAAGGACGAGGAUGGGGCAGAUGGCAGCUAAGUCCACACUGCAGCCAGAGGUCUUUGAGGGAGCUCGAGGCUCUCAUUCACUAAUCCUAGGGCAGAUGGGGAGUCAGCAGGCACUUGGAUCUCUGCUGCCACUUCAUGGAGAGGGAAACUGAGGCACAAAGAGGAAGGGAUUAAUCAGACCACUGCCUGCAGCAGAGCUGGGGCUGCAUCCCAAGCCUCCCAACUCCAACUUCGUCCCAUCCUCUCCUGGGUAAACCGGGCCGGGCAUGCCACGGGUUAAACGCGGCUCGGCUCUCCGGGAAGCACCAGACCCCCUGCCAGAAGAGCCCAGCUCCACCAUCUGGAGCUGCAGGAAGAGAACUUUCUUGGGUGCUCUGUGCAAAGGGCUUGUGAUUGUUUCGCCCUAAAGGAAGCCCUGGGAAGAGGUAGAGUUCCGCACGAGACCACGGCCUCACUGCUUCUGCUGUGGGAGCCAGGGUAGGAAGUCCCAGAACAAUGCCUCUGGGGGCUCUUGCAGCCAGGCCAGCUGUCCCUAGAGCAGGGGCAACCUCCCCCUCUAACAAGGUGGUCUUUCCCAUUCCCACUUAGACUGUGGGCAGCCUCCCUGGAACAUUCCCCAGGGAUGUCCAACAGUCUCCCCUACCAGGACACUCCUCUUGCCACCAAAACUCAGGGGCUGAAACCUUUCAUGAUGGGGUUAUUUUCUGCAGCACCUUAAAAAUGAACUUGAGAUAUAGAACCUUCUGGCACAUUUGUGUGCUGUGAGGCAUGGCUGUGCUGAGUGGGGCCUCAGGAAACAGGUCAUGCACCUCCUGAUACCCCUGCUGCUCUGGGAUGCCACUGCCCACUUCCUGGUGCUUAGAGACCAUCGCCACCAGCAGAAGAUCCUAGGGCAGCCUAGAAUCUGCAGAGCCUGUCCCAGUGAUCACAGAGGCGUCUCCAAGGCAGUCCCAAGGACUCCCUGUCCCUCAGGACAUCCCGGGGGCCUCCUGGCUGGUGUGGGGAUACAGGAGUCUCUCGGGAGGCUCCAUGAUGCAGUCCUUCAGAACCUCCGCUGCUUCCCUGGAGGGCAGGAUGGGUGGCUUCUGGGUCCUGGGCUCCUCCACAUAGAGGGCUCCCAUCUCCUCCUUCCUGAGCCUGGCGCCUGUGAGGGAGGAAGGAGAAUACAAUUAGACUGACUGACAGUGACCGCCUUCCACAUCCAGCUUCGCCCAGGGGCUGUUUGGUGAGGAAAGCUUGGCAGAACAGACUGAAGUCAGGACCACGACUGCUCUUUGCAGCCCUCAUCUGUUGCUACUCUGUUCAUUCUUUUAUCCUGAGAUAGGGGAUCUCAACUGGGGGCGAUUUUGUCCCCCAGGGGCCAUUUGCCAAUGUCUGGAGAUGAUUUUUGUGGUCACAAAUGGGGUGUGUGCUACUGGUAUCCAGUGGUUAUCUAAUAGGUAGAGGCCAUGGAUGCUGCUCAAGUUCCCACAGUGAACAGGAAGGGCCCCCAACAGAGAUUACCCAGCCCCAGCAUCAACAAUGCCAAGGCUGAGAGCCCUGCCUGGAAGGAGGCAGCGGUGCGUAGUUUGGCAGUGUUUGGACCAAUCUGUGCUGGUCCUGUUGUCCCUGUGGAAAGAGUAACUCGCAUCAGGGCACACCUGACAUCAUUUUUUUCUCCUUAGCACCCACAGGGCUGGACACAGAGCAACUCACCCAGCCCUCUCUCGGCUUUCCCUUUCUCUUAUCAGUGAGGGGUCUCUUUUCUUAUCCCCACCUGCCCUACUGUGGCUUCAGGGCCACCUUGCUUCCUACAGAGCCUCUGUCAGCCAUGAGAUCCAGUCCCAUUUCUGGUGACCACAGACUCAGAGGUGAAAACUGGGAGCAGCAACAGCCGGAAGGAGGCCAGCUAGAGACGCGAGGAGAGAGAGCACUGGGAGCAGCAACAGCCGGAAGGAGGCCAGCUAGAGACGCGAGGAGAGAGAGCACUGCUCCAUCCUUGUCAAGUGGUCGCGAGUGGUCUGGAGAACCCCAACAAUGGGCAUAUUUUCUUUGGUUUUCAGUGACUACUUGAAGAGAAAAAUUUCCUGUCUGUGGCUUUCAGUAACUUGCCCUCCCUUCUAAUACAGCUUCCCCCUCAAGCAAGUUCUUGACCCCAGCCCUCCGGUCCAGAGAGGCUGUUUCUGUUCUCCCCUGCCCCGUGAGAUUUCUGCCUGAAAGCCCCACCAUCUCCUCCGCAUCUCACCUCCUCCACAGCCACAUGGACCUCUUCCCUCUUGAAAAUUCCUGCACGGUCCAGAGUCUAUACAGCCCCACUUAGAAUGUGAUGGCGCUGCCUGGGGCUGGUCAGCCCUCUCCUUACUCCCAGCAGUGGUCUUGACCUUUAACUAGUACCAUUUGCACCACCUGCCAGGCAUUGUCCUGAGUGUUUUCCACACACAACUCAUUCGGCAGAUGAGAAACCAAGGCAUCAAAGGACAGACUUGCCCAAGGCCACACAGCCAGUUGGGGGCAGAGCCAGCACAGCACUGUCACCAGGGCAGACAGGCUCUAGAAAUGCACGCUCUCUGCACUAAGCCCUGCUGCCUAGAGCACAUGUGCGUCAUCUCCCUGGCAGGGGUGCAAGCUCCUGGAGGGUGGAUGUCACGCAUCGAGUACCCACUGGCCUAGCAAAUGGGUGGGUGCAUGACAGAAGCUCCACAGGCACCUGCAGUCCUGUCUUAUUGGCCUCUGGCUCAGCAUGAGGCUGCCUUGGGGGAGCUCUGCCACGUGUACUUACUUGCAGGGGAGCGGGCUGGCACCUGGGCACAGGUGUAGACAUGGCUGAAACGCCGGCCUGAGGAGGUCAGGUACCAGUGCUGGAUGGCGGGCUGGGGGUCGUACUCCGUGACGGCCACGCCGUUCACAGCUGUCAUCAUGAGCAUGUUGAGCACCUCGUUGGAGAGCUUGGUCCUCUCAUCGGUCCUGAUUCGGUUCAUGGCCUUGAACCCCCGCUCACAGCAAGAGGUGGAGAUGGGCACACAGACCACCACGGCCAUGAGCUUGCUUAGCAGGGGGAAGCGGCAGUGCUGGGCCAGGGCGUUUUUGCAGAGCAUGGAGAACGGGAGGUGCUGGGCAAUGGUUUUCAGGCCCAGCCACUCCUCCAGCAGAGCUUCCUCACUGUAUCCUGUUGGGAGGGAGCACUCGAAAUACCUGGCCAGGUUGAGAAUGUCAUCAUUCCCAAAACUGGCAAGUUCAAUCCCACUUGGCCAGGCCAUGGUGUCAAACACCUCCAUGUUCUUCAGCUGUGGGGGUCGGUCUGCGUCAAACCUCUGCUGGAGGUACUCAAUCCCCGUCAGGACUGUCCUCUCCCUAUCCGCCUGGAACCGCUGUUCCGCUACCUCCAGUUUGUCCAAGCAGAUGCCGUGGAGCCGCCCAUCCUUGAAGCUGGCGUUGAAUUCUUCCUCUUUGGGCCCUGCCUGGUGACGGAGGCUCUCCAGUGCCACGUAGGCGCGGCCCAGCGUGGCGUUCACCUCUGUAAUCAGCACGAUCUCCUUCUGGCACACCUCGGACAGAGGCCUGUAGAUGCUCAGGAAGUCCAACAGGAAGUGGCAGAACUUGACAAAGUGGAAGCCGCGCAUGAGCUUCAGCAUCCCUUUGGCCCGGUGCCCAAUCUGGCCCCCAGCCUCUGCCACCCUCUGGAGGUGCCUGGCCAGGGCGGGCCAGCUCACGAGCAGCGCGUGCAGCGUGCGCCUCCUGCUGGCCACCCAGCGGACCGCAUUCAGAUCCUUCAGGCGGAUGAUCUCCUGCUCCAGAGGCGCCGCACCUUCCUGCAGCUCGUUCAGCCUCUUGUUUGAGGACUGAUAAAACUUGAAGACGGUGCGGAUGUGCCGGUCACACUUCUUCACCAGAUCGAUGCUCCCGCAGGCGUCCACCACAGCCAGGUGCAGCCGGUGGGCCACGCAGUGGACAGGCAGCAGCUGCGGGAUGACCUCCUGGAACUUUUCCACAAGGCCUCCUCUGCAGCUCAACAUGGCUGAGCCAUCCGUCCCCAGCCCCACCACCCAGCCAGGCUUCCGGAAGGGGAUGUCCAGCUCAUCCAGGGCAGAAACGAUGGUCUCGAAGUACCCAUCUGCUGUCUCACUGUAGAGAGGGGCCAGAGUGAUGUAGGACUCUUUCACCUCCAUCUGCUUGAAGUAGCGGAUGUAAAUCCCCACGCAGGCCUGCUCGGAGGCGUCGGUGGAGCUGUCCAGCAGCACGCUCACACAGGGCGAGUUCCGCACGUCCUCCAGGAUCUCCCUCUUCAGGGUCUCUGAGAUGUACUUGAUGAACUGAGUGCACGCCGUGCGAUUGCGGUACUUGCCUAAUAUCACGGUCCCCGUGCUUUGGAGGAGCUGCAGGAUCUUCUCAAAGUCAUUCAGGGGCCUUGAGUGGUAUGCAAUGGAGUAGGCGGCAUUGAAAAAGUGCUCCAUGUUGGCCAUGAGGUCGCUGGAGAUCUCUGGAACGAGGGCAGUGUGAGGGGUGUCUUCCUUGAUUUCAACCGUGUUGACACAGAGCCUGUGCGCUUUGCUGACUUCAUGGUAUUUUAAAGUCUCCACUUUAAAAGGCCCCGUGUAACCUCUGACUAACCGAGAUGAUUUAUCAUGGAG
rnacentral:lncRNA from 1 species